UGGGGAAUAUUGCGUAAUGGGGGGAACCCUGACGCAGCCAUGCCGCGUGAAUGAAGAAGGCCUUAGGGUUGUAAAGUUCUUUCGGUAUUGAGGAAGGUUGAUGUGUUAAUAGCACAUCAAAUUGACGUUAAAUACAGAAGAAGCACCGGCUAACUCCGUGCCAGCAGCCGCGGUAAUACGGAGGGUGCGAGCGUUAAUCGGAAUAACUGGGCGUAAAGGGCACGCAGGCGGUUAUUUAAGUGAGGUGUGAAAGCCCCGGGCUUAACCUGGGAAUUGCAUUUCAGACUGGGUAACUAGAGUACUUUAGGGAGGGGUAGAAUUCCACGUGUAGCGGUGAAAUGCGUAGAGAUGUGGAGGAAUACCGAAGGCGAAGGCAGCCCCUUGGGAAUGUACUGACGCUCAUGUGCGAAAGCGUGGGGAGCAAACAGGAUUAGAUACCCUGGUAGUCCACGCUGUAAACGCUGUCGAUUUGGGGGUUGGGGUUUAACUCUGGCGCCCGUAGCUAACGUGAUAAAUCGACCGCCUGGGGAGUACGGCCGCAAGGUUA
rnacentral:rRNA from 1 species